GGCCAGACUCCUACGGGAGGCAGCAGUGGGGGAUAUUGCACAAUGGGGGAAACCCUGAUGCAGCGACGCCGCGUGGGUGAAGAAGCGCCUCGGCGCGUAAAGCCCUGUCAGCAGGGAAGAAAAUGACGGUACCUGAAGAAGAAGCCCCGGCUAACUACGUGCCAGCAGCCGCGGUAAUACGUAGGGGGCAAGCGUUAUCCGGAUUUACUGGGUGUAAAGGGGGCGCAGACGGCGAUGCAAGCCAGGAGUGAAAGCCCGGGGCCCAACCCCGGGACUGCUCUUGGAACUGCGUGGCUGGAGUGCAGGAGGGGCAGGCGGAAUUCCUGGUGUAGCGGUGAAAUGCGUAGAUAUCAGGAGGAACACCGGUGGCGAAGGCGGCUUUCUGGCUCAUAACUGACGCUGAGGCGCGAAAGCGUGGGGAGCAAACAGGAUUAGAUACCCCUGCA
rnacentral:rRNA from 1 species